AGUGGGGAAUAUUGCACAAUGGGCGCAAGCCUGAUGCAGCGACGCCGCGUGAGGGAUGGAGGCCUUCGGGUUGUGAACCUCUUUCGCUCAUGGUCAAGCCGCUACUGUGGGUUGUGGUGAGGGUAGUGGGUAAAGAAGCGCCGGCUAACUACGUGCCAGCAGCCGCGGUAAUACGUAGGGCGCGAGCGUUGUCCGGAAUUAUUGGGCGUAAAGGGCUUGUAGGCGGUUGGUCGCGUCUGUCGUGAAAUCCUCUGGCUUAACUGGGGGCGUGCGGUGGGUACGGGCUGGCUUGAGUGCGGUAGGGGAGACUGGAACUCCUGGUGUAGCGGUGGAAUGCGCAGAUAUCAGGAAGAACACCGGUGGCGAAGGCGGGUCUCUGGGCCGUUACUGACGCUGAGGAGCGAAAGCGUGGGGAGCGAACAGGAAUAGAUACCCUGGUAGUCCACGCUGUAAACGUUGGGCACUAGGUGUGGGGGCCACCCGUGGUUUCUGCGCCGUAGCUAACGCUUUAAGUGCCCCGCCUGGGGAGUACGGCCGCAAGGCUAAAACUCAAAGGAAUUGACGGGGGCCCGCACAAGCGGCGGAGCAUGCGGAUUAAUUCGAUGCAACGCGAAGAACCUUACCAAGGCUUGACAUGCGCCCUGGGCGUGCGGAGACGUGCGUGCAUUUGGUUGGGGGUGUGCAGGUGGUGCAUGGUUGUCGUCAGCUCGUGUCGUGAGAUGUUGGGUUAAGUCCCGCAACGAGCGCAACCCUUGCCCUAUGUUGCCAGCACGUUGUGGUGGGGACUCGUGGGGGACUGCCGGGGUUAACUCGGAGGAAGGUGGGGAUGACGUCAAAUCAUCAUGCCCCUUAUGUCUUGGGCUUCACGCAUGCUACAAUGGUUGGUACAGAGGGUUGCGAUAUCGUGAGGUGGAGCGAAUCCCUUAAAGCCAGUCUCAGUUCGGAUUGGGGUCUGCAACUCGACCCCAUGAAGGUGGAGUCGCUAGUAAUCGCAGAUCAGCAACGCUGCGGUGAAUACGUUCUCGGGCCUUGUACACACCGCCCGUCACGUCACGAAAGUUGGUAACACCCGAAGCCCAUGGCCUAACCGGUUUUUGCUGGGGGGAGUGGUCGAAGGUGGGAUUGGCGAUUGGGACGAAGUCGUAACAAGGUAGCCGUACCGGAAGGUGC
rnacentral:rRNA from 1 species